CUCGUGAAAACCAUUCCAAGAGUGGAAGCUGUUAUAGCUAUAACUAUAGUUAUACAGUAGCUGGAGACCAACUCCAUAUUAGUACUGCAUGUAUUGGAUGACAUCAUUACAGUCCCUGUUGGUGUGAUGGUCAGGCGUCCAGAAACAUUUUGUCCAUAUAGUGUACCAGGGAAUAUGCAUGGUGCAGUUAUGGGCAUGGGCAUUAUAAAUCUACUGUGAUUAAUACUGACGCAGGUUGAUACACCUCCUUCUGACCUUGGACCUCGGACAAAGCCUAAUUGUCAGUGUUGUUAAAACUGUGAGUCAUAUUUCUGCGACAAGCUAAAUAAUUCAUUAUCCGUGUGACGAGACUAAUGAAUGCAAAACAAAAGGUUUUUAAAUGAUAUUACCUGCACGCUUUGACAAUGAGAAAGGAGCUACUAAGUGCGACUCAACUCCACUUGUGUGGUGACCAUGGUGUGUUUCUUCUUCUUCUUCUUCUUCUCUGUUCUGUGAAGGAUCUGCAAUGCAAUGAACGUUGUUUACAGCAGGUGGAUAUGACGUCACGGACUUGGAAUCCAUCAAAACAACAACAUCCAAAUCCGCGAUUCUUCCUUUUUUUCUCUUCCCCGUCACUCUCUCCCCCUCUUUUCGUCUUUAUUCUCCGCUCGAUGUGUUACAAUCUAAUAAGAACAUUAAAGAAGGGAGAGCUCGCGAGGCGGACUAGGAGGCAGCGAGUGUGAAACUCCAUUUUCUUGCUCCUUUUCGACGCCCUCGGUAAGAUUAUCUCCUUCUCCUUGUAAGUUAAGUUAAGUUAGUUAGUUAGUUAGUCCCCCACCACCUCCACCUCCUUCACCGGCAGCGGCGGAAGGAGUGGUGUUGUUUACGGUGUGAUUUGUUGUCGCAUGCGUUCUCUCUGUACACAAGCUCGCGUGCACGGCGGCGUCCCUUCUCCUCGCGUAGUCGCGAUUCGGUUCCGUCCGCGUGCGCCUUCUCAGCCGCCGUAACGCGCUGUCCGCCCCGGGCAACAUGGGAAGGAAGUGAAGUUUGCCGCUUUGGGAACAAUUGAAAGCCACCAGUGAAAGUUAAUUACGUCAGAAACUCCUGCUGCUCCAGCCAGGAGACUCCAGUGGUGACAUCCUGUGGAGCCAGAGAUCAAAGGCAAGGAGGCUGUUUUACCACAGCAGGAACUGAAGAUUGCUUUAAAUAAGCAAGUCCUUGUAGAA